rnacentral:rRNA from 1 species
UACAGAGGCCACGAGCGUUAGGCGGAAUCACUGGGCUUAAAGCGUGUGUAGGUGGAUCGGUAAGUACCUUGUAAAAAUCCCACAGCUCAACUGUGGAACUGCUUGGUAUACUGCCAGUCUUGAGGCACUCAGGGGCGAGCGGAACAAGUGGUGGAGCGGUGAAAUGCGUAGAUAUCACUUGGAACGCCAAUGGUGAAGACAGCUCGCUGGGGGUGUACUGACACUGAGACACGAAAGCCAGGGGAGCGAACGGG